rnacentral:rRNA from 1 species
UUUGGCGGGAUUGACGGUACCUUACUAGAAAGGGGCCGCUAACUGCGUGCCAGAAGCGUCGGUAAUACGUGGGCCCCAAACAUUAUCCGGUUUUACUGGGUGUAAAAAGUAGUGUAGGUGUUCUUUUAAGUUUUGUUUCAAAUUCUACGGCCUAACCGUAGACAGGGGCAAAAUACUGAAAGAAUUGAGUUUUCUUUAGGGAGAUUGGAACUCAGGGAGGAGUAGUGAAAUGCGUUGAUACCCUGGGGAACACCAGUGGCGAAGGCGAAUCUCUGGAAGAUAACUGACACUGAGACACGAAAGCUAGGGGAGCGAAGCAGAUUAGAGACCUGCGUAGUCCUAGCUGUAAACGCAUGCUUGCUAGCCGCAUUUUUUGACCUUCGGGUCACAAGGUGUAGCGUAGGUAACCCGUUAAGCAAGCCACCUGGGGAGUACGGCCGCAAGGUUGAAACUCAAAGGAAUUGGCGGGGAGGCACACAACCAGUGGAACAUGUGGUUUAAUUCGAAACAAACCGAAGAACCUCACCAGGGUUUGACAUGGAAGAGUUCUAGUCCGAUGAAAGUCGGAUGAUUCGCAAGAAGGCUUUCACAGGUGCUGCAUGGCUGUCGUCAGCUCGUUCCGUGAGGAGUGCCCUUAAGUGGGACAACGAGCGCAACCCUUGUCUUGUGUUAAAUCUAUCACAAGAGACUGCCCUGACUUUUAGUCGGGGAGGAAGGAGGGGCAGACGUCAAGUCAGCAUGGUCCUUAUACCCUGGGCUACACACAUGUUACAAUGGGAAGUAACAACGGGCAUUGCCAGACGGUAACGUCGAGCAAAUCCCUUAAAUCUUCCCUCAGUGGGGAUUGAGGUCUGCAACCCGACCUCAUGAACGCGGAAUUGGUAGUAAUCGCAGGUCAGCUACACUGCGGUGAAUACGUUCUUGCCUCUUGCACACACCGCCCGUCAAGCCAACAAAGUCGGGGACACUUGAAUUCCGCAUUUAUGCGGGAGAGGGUAUCGCCGGCGAUGGGGGUUAAGUCGUAACAAGGUAACC